AGAUUUAGGCGGUGGAAUGAGCAUUCUUGUCCCUUAGAUCAUAUGGUACAGCAGAUCCCAUGGUGCUAGAGAUAUUUGUGGAACAUAUUGUUGCCAUUUAGUCUUUUGUAAGUCCAAAUAGAAGAGUCCCAGCACAGACCCCUAAGGCUUGACACAGGCUAUGCCAUCUGUAGCAGAGAACUAUUUACCAUAAAAGCAGAUUCCAGCAUGUUACUGGGUCUUAGCAGAGACUAGACUCUCAACCAAGGGAUUGAUUAAGUGACUAUACAACUGGAGCUACUCACCUUGAGCUGGAUAUCACAUCAAGUCAUAAGUGGAGUGGGAGGGAGAGUAUUCACAUAGCAAUCUAACAUAUUGUGGAGAUGGUACAUUCUGGAUCAGACCCAAUCAGAUCCAGAGAGUAUAAGUAAGUUAUAUAAACAUGUGUCCCAGACCCUUACAUUACUUUACACCAAUGCCUCGCCAUUAGUGAGCUAACAGAAAAGUAAUGGCUUACGGAGAAGGAAAUACUGAGAAGUUUUUUGUUUUGUUUUUUUUAUCAUGGAUAAGGUGAUAAGUUUGAAAGCUGACAAUAGGCCACUGUUGCACUACAGCCAAUCUCAGAGAAGGCUCUGGAAGAUUGUAUGAAGAGGAAAUCUUGUGCGGUUCACUUGACCACCAGCCUUCUGUGAUGAACGAAAUGCUGCCUCCUAUUCCACCUUCAGAUCUAACUUCCUUGGUAGACACUCUCCGAUCCCCCAAACGAAUGCUGGUUGUUGAUGUUUGUGCCUACUUUAAGAGCAAUGAAAACCUCUGAAAAAGAGCUGGACUUGAGAGAAGACCUUACUAUUGAUUGGCAUGUAGAUGGUAAUGGAGAAUAAGGGGAAAUGACAGCAUAGUACCAAGCCCAAUAGGGAAGAUAACCUCCCUGAAAGAAAUUAAGAAAGAACAACCUGAACUGUAGGGAGAAACAAAGGAGAAGAAUAUGGUGUCCCCAAACCAAGAGAAAAGAAAAUUUUGAAAAAAAAAUGUUUUUGACUGUGUUGAGAGUUGAAGAGGAAAUCAUUUAACAUAUGGCCAAAGAAAAUGUCCAUUUGACUUAGCAACAGGAGUAUUUGCACCAACAGAAAUCAGUAAAUGCCCAAAUCAAGGCUUUCUUUAUUGUUUUAUUAAUUAUCUAGGCUUAAGAAAGUGAUAUUGAAAUGCUAAUAAUGCAUAUUAAACUUAAGAAUUUGUCAGUGUCUGUAGCCGUUAUAUUAUGAAUAAUACAAAAAAAUCUGUGCAUAUUCUUACAAUAUUGGAAAAUUGUCCUAUUCAACAAAGAAGUUGUUCACAUCAUUAACUCUUGAAUGUUUCAACACACAUGCUCAUUGUUGUUUUACUUUCAUCUUAUUCACUAGUAGCAAUUGAAAAAUAUUAAUCAACAUUCUUGUGGGCAAUCUAUUUUUUCAUCAAAUGCAACCACUGGUUAAUUAUGGAUACACAAAAAGCACAAAUCAGUGAAAGCAUUCUCUGAGAAUCAGCAGCUGUAGAGAAUUUACAACAAAGAAUAUUGAAUAUUUUAUUAUUAUGUACAAA
rnacentral:lncRNA from 12 species